CAUGCCCUACGGGAGGCAGCAGUCGAGAAUCAUUCACAAUGGGGGAAACCCUGAUGGUGCGACGCCGCGUGGGGGAAUGAAGGUCUUCGGAUUGUAAACCCCUGUCAUGUGGGAGCAAAUUAAAAAGAUAGUACCACAAGAGGAAGAGACGGCUAACUCUGUGCCAGCAGCCGCGGUAAUACAGAGGUCUCAAGCGUUGUUCGGAAUCACUGGGCGUAAAGCGUGCGUAGGCGGUUCGAUAAGUUAGAGGUGAAAUCCCGGGGCUCAACUCC
rnacentral:rRNA from 1 species